AAGGUUCUGGAAAGUUCUUGAUGAUUCCAUUUAUUUCCUCUCAAAAUUUAGGAUCUUCAACUUUUUAAUUAACACAUCAACCACUCAGGGCAAGAAUUGAAAAAACAAAUUUACAUCCAGAGCCUCAUUUUAACAAGAGAGUGAGAAGGUGCAGCUCAGGCACCAGGAAGCACAGACAGGUGUGGGGAGGGGCUGCCCCCUCUCCUG